UCAGACACUUAAUCUUAUUAUAUAGCCAAUAAACCUUUGUUAAAGGACUAAGAGAAGGAUGUAUUUUGCAUCUCUAUAUUUCUGUUUGUACAUGGUGUGACUCUAGGUUUUUGAUUAAAGAUUGUAUUUACAGGCCAACUGAAAACUAAGUGAAAGAGACACAGAGGAAAAAGUCAGUCAUCAAAAUCUUUCAAAACAUUUGGAUGUUUCAUCUGUGACUUUGUAUAUACAAAUUAUAAGAGAAGAAAAUGAGUUCUUACUUUGUGCCAAUCACUCUUACAUAAAAUGUUUCAUGGAAACCCCAUUAUAAUUUUGGAAGGAAAUCUACCUAUCAGGGUUCGGUGCAGAAAACAGAAACUAUGCUGGCUAUUUUAAACAGAAAAGGACUUUGGUGCCUACAAAAGUACUAAAAGGGCUAGAUAGGUGAGCAUUAGGCAAGAUCUUCACGAAAAAUGCCUCUCAAACAUCACCUUUGAAGCAGCCCACCAAGGGAACCGCUCCCUCUGCUACAGUUUACAUGCUAAGAGUCCAGAAGGUGCCACACCUGCUGCAGACUCUGAGAUCAUAUCAUCAAACCCAUGCACUCGGGACAUGACUCCAACCACGACUCUUGUCCCCAAAGCCAUGCUCCAGCUGCUGUUAUUCAUGCUAGCAAAAGCCGAUGCCCUUUAAUGCCCUUCAAGCUCCCACUUGACUUAGUUUCCCACUAGACUUAGUUUCCAAGUUCUCAUACUGUUCAUCUGAUGAGGUGAAGCUAAGUCAUCAAGGAUCUUAGCUGCAAGGGAGUCUGAUAAAUAUAGAUUUUAUCAUUUUAAGUCUCUGCAGAAGGGGAAGUCAUAUUAGAAGGAGGUUACAACAAAUACAGUGCAAAUUCAUACAAUGCCUUUAGGUUUCCUACUGCCAGGAAGAAUGUCAGAAAGGAAGUUCUGCAAAGGAGGCAUAAGACACUGGAUAGAUUAGAACACUACUGCUACCAUGGUAGGAGCGCCUAGGAGCUGACUUGAGGAUGAAAGACAUAUGGAGAGAGAAUUCCAGAUUCUUGGCUGUCCCAGCUGAGUGUAACCCCUGAAGACCCACAACUGAAUGCAGCACCAUGAGGGAACCAUGGUGUUCACCAUGAGAGAGCAGAAGAGUCCAGCCAACUCUCAGAAUCAUGAGAAAUAACAUUGGUUUUAGUCUCUAAGUUUGGGGGUUAUUGUUAUGUAGUAAUAGAUAUAACACAUAACGUGUUUAUUGUUAAAUCCAUGUGUUAUUUGUUUACCCAUUUAUCCAGAAAUUACUUAAUUAGUACAUACUAUAUCACAAGCACUGUGAUAAGCUUUUGGGGGAUAUAAUAAUGAGCAAUAUAGAGGCCUUGCUAUGGAGAAUCAUCCAGUAAAGAGUGUAAGUAAAGAUAUGAUGAUAGUACUAUAACAUGUGGUCUAUUGGAAGUGUAAUCAACAGUGCUCUGGAAGAACCUAAAAAUGACAUCUAACUCAAUUUGGGGAUCGGUGUCAUGAGAAAAUGCCUGAGACAGGCACUCCCUGCAUUUUGGUUUUGGUUCUUGUAGCUGAGAGAAAAGUCUAGCAGUUUGGCCAAUGUUGCCUGAUUGGGACUAAUAUAAUUUCUCUUGAAUCUCAUUUGAGAGCACUGUACUCAAAGAUUGUUUAUUUUCAUAGGUAUUUUUAUUUAUUUAGUUGGUUUUGUUUUGCCCACAAUGGAAAUAGGCUCUUACCAAUACGAGCUAAGGUCUUAUGCCCAAUAACUUGGCUUUCUGUGCAUGAUUUUUGGAACUAGAUUAGCCUACUUUCCUACUCAGUAAUUUUCUAAUUAACAUUUUUAGUUAAAAAGUAGACUAAAUUUUAGAGUAGCUAAGGUUAAAUGUCAAAAAAUACCGUACUAGAAGUAUACUUUUAUAGAGCCAGACAAAUAUGGAAAACAAAAUAUUGAAAUAUUAUGGAGAAAUACAAAUAUUGAAAACAAAUACCGAAAUACAAUUUUCUGCCUUUCUUAUUUCCGAUUGUUACCAGUCAUGGAUAAUCCAACUAUUUUCCUCCCUUGAAAAUUGAAGGACACAUAACCUGGGGAAAAAAGUGCUCUGUGGGCCAAUGAAAUGGCUACCUAGAGAUGGUCCUAUAACUUCUCAAGGGAUCCCAAGUGUCACAGAUGAAAAAAAUUAGUACAUUAGAAAAGUACAGACCUAAUCACUAACUCUUAUUUUCAUUAAAAUACAUGCUUAUACAUAGAAACAAGAUCAACAGUGUAGAAGGAAGUCCUCAAAAAGGCAGUGCAGUUUUAAUUAGUUGAGUAUGGAGACUAAUUAAUAUGCAAAUGAGGAGCUUACCAAUAUUAAUCAUCUGUUUUACUAGGCAGCUUUUACUAAAGAGUUUCUAACGAGUUUGCAAAUUAAGUUUCUUUGACAUUAAAAAUCAGCUAACCGCCUGUCUGAGACUAAUCUCUUCUAACUCCAGGGCAGGAAGGGGGGAUUUUUUUUUUUUGGAUGAAAAACAGCCACGUUUAAAAGCAAUUCCCAUGUUGGCAAGCACCAUGCAAGAGCUCGGUAUCAACCAUUUCCAGGCUCUAAUUGAAACCUUUUCGGCAGGAGAGACACCAGAAAAACUGUUGGGACAAGAGACAAAUAUAGUCACGGCGAUUUAAAGAUGCAUGACCUAGAAAGCUACACCACAAAAUGUGCCUAUGUAGGUGACCGCUAUUGGUAAAACCCAAAAGAGGUUCUACUUUUUAAACUCCCUUUUAUGGUUCUUCAGCAUAUAUCUACAAUUCUCUUAUCUUGGAAAUAUUGAAGAUGAGGAUGGAUUUCAAGGUUUUUCUGUAAAUUAUUUUCAGUGUCAGCUAAAUCCAUUAUUAUGCCCCUCAGCCAUCAACCCCAAACACUAUGAUACAAAUUUAUGCAGUAUUUUAGGUUUCCUACUUCCAGGAAGAAUGUCAGAAAGGAAGUUCUGUAAAGGAGAUGAAAGGCUGAAUGCACAUCUCUGAACCUCAAUUGAAACACAGUUGCCCUUGAAAAAAAGUCUUCUGUCCCAUCAUAACCCUAUGGAAAUUCAAAGGAAGCUUCAAAGUGAUACACUUUCAAUCAGCUCACAAUCUGUGUUUGUUCCCAAAUUUUGUACCUCUUUCCCAUCUGCCCCCCAAAUUUUUAUAGAUAUCAGCUGAAAGCUACCAAGCUAGACAAAUUUGUCACCCAUAAACUCCUUAUUCAUUCAUCAGUAUGUUCCAUAAAUAUUUGUUGAUGGAAACAAAUAUUUGUUCCAUAAAUAUUUGGAGUUGAAGCAAGGGGCUGAGCAUCUCCUGCUGAAUCAGGUACCGUAUGGGAUGCAAAUAUGUAUUAUUAGCAGUUUUAGGGGACUUACAAUCUACUAAGAAUAUAAAACAUGUUCCCCCAAAGCCCACUUUGAAGAAGUAUGUGAUAAAAGUAAUGAGAAUUGUCUCCCAUGUGCUUUUUGCGAAUGACUAAACAAUCUUAUGAAAACAUUCUGACUCAGUCUCUUUCUUGAUAUAGUAGAGAUUGUUCUAGUAAGAUAUAUUGGAGAAAAGGAUGGGAUUGGUGAUUUGUUAAGUUUAAGUUUUUACAAGUUUAAAAGUGGCUUCUGCAGGAAACACUGGAGACUCUCCUCACCUUUUCCAACUCAGAGAAAGAACUUCGGUCUAUGAUAGGUUUACUUGCACAGCGGCAAUGACAAGGAGACAAUGAAUGAUAUUCACUUAAAGACAUCCAGUCCAGGAACACUGAACUGCACUGCUCAGUCUCUGUGAUAAUCCUUACUUGCCCAAAGCCUUAUUUCUUUUGGUUAAUGCCUAUGCUAAAUGCCAUGGCUGGUAGGGAACACUGCUAGGUUCAGAUUCAUUUAAAUUCAUG
rnacentral:lncRNA from 1 species